CGGAACCUUUGUCUGUCAGUGCACAAUUUCCUGGUACACCGAAUACACUGAUGCACGCGUCAGAGCUUGGCUAACCACAUCUCUAUGAAGGACUGUUGGGAGGCAAAUUUAAUUAAAAAAAAGUACCUAAUGGAAGCAGGGUUUUGUGCAGGUUAUGCGAAAAGGAGUUUGCAUACCAUGGGCGCAUUUCAACGCUCUGGUAUGAUCUAAAUGCGAAGCAUGUCGGAGCAAGCACAGAAAUAGCUGGAGCUGUUAGCGUUAGCACUCACGGUACAAGUUCUAAGAGUUGUCAGCAAACCAAACUUGAGCAAGUGACCGGAUUCAGGACCAAAACUAGUAAGUCAACAUUGGAGAAAUUAUAAAUUCACUCGGACAGUGGAUUGCGCUGGACUGUAGACUACUAUUAAUAAUAAAAGACAAAGGAUUAGAAAAUGUGCUAAAUAGAGCGACAUGUGAUCCAAGUUUUCAACUAAAAUGCAGAAAUUUCAGCCAAAAUUCAACAACGUUAUGACACAGAAAAACAAGGAAAAUUGGAUGCAUUGCAGAAAGCUCAGUAUGUGGCUCUGACCGGAGAUCAUUGGACCUCCGUUAGUAAUGCAAAUAAAGUCGGCGUCACUGCACACAUUGCUGAUGUCACAGACGGGACAUGGCAUCUAUAGUCUUUUGCCCUGGCUGCGCACAAGACAAUCACCAGACACUAUGCUAAAUACUGUGCAGAGCAUUUUCUCUCUGUGGCAGGGAAAUGGGGAGUUCUACAAAAUGUAACCACAAUUGGAUCGGACAUCUCUCAUUUCAACACAUUACUUGUAUUGCUCACAUCUUGCAAAGAGCCAUCACUGUUAGCCUUGCUGACAGUGGGUUUAGUGAUGCAUUCGCAAAAUGUCGCAAGAUAGUGGGUCACUUUAAACACACCCCUGCUAAUACAGAGGAACUACACCAGGAGCAAUCAAGACUGUGGCAAAAAAUUAGCCACUCAUGCAAGAUGGAGCCACCAGUUGGACUUCAACACUGGGAAUGAUCUCUCGUCUACUGAAGAAUCAAAAGACUGUUUUUGCUGCUUUAGACAAACAGAAGCAGCAGAUUUUUGACUGAACUCCUUGGAGGUAAUACACAAGUCUCAUGUUCAGUGGUUUCACCUGCUCUCCGUCACCUGUACUGCAUCAUGGAGGUCUCAGAUGACGACUCAACCUACAUUGUGAAAUUCAAGACAACCUUCACAAGCUUCACUCAACCAUGAAUGGCUCAGGAUGGCCACUGUGUUUGACUGUGCUUGCUUUAAGGAUUUAAAAUGUCUUGCAAAUGGAGAGCGAACAGAUGUUUAGACCAGCUUUGAGGCCCUACUGCAGGAACAGUGUAAGGAUAUCACCACACAGGAGCCAGCAAAGAAAAAGAGCUUCUUUCUUUCUCCAAUUUCUUCAGAUUCUGAUCCAAAUGAGGAAGCCCUGUGUAGCAGGGCCCAGAAUUUGUACAGAGCAGAAUCCACCAUCAGCUAAACAGACUGCCCACUCCAGUGGUGGUUCAGUCAAGCAGGGACUCAUCCACAUCUGCCUGUCUUGGUCCGCAAGUAUCUGAUAAGCCCUGCCACUUCUGUUCCAUGUGAGAGGCUGAUCUCACUUGCAGGUCACAACUUUACAAAAAAGUGAGCUGCCUUGAGCUCUGGUAAUGUGAAAAGGCUAGUUUGUCUUAGCAACUGAGAGGGAGAGGAAGUAGUCAUGGAGGUAUUGUGAGGCCAAUGGGUUUGCUAUUUUUUGCACUAAAAUGUACAAAAAAAUAUUUGCUCAGGUUACUUGGAGUUUUAGGCCUUUCGAAUUACCAUUUAAAUUUGUAGUUGUUUUUCCAUAAAAAGAAAGAUGUGCACUUCUGUUGAAUUGUUUUUUUUAACCAUUUAAAGGCAAUACAGUUCUGAAAAAUGUGUCCUAAAAUGGCAUUUAAAUCCUGAAAUGGAACUUUAAGUUGAGGUCUACUGAAUUUUGACCAGGGAAUGUUUGUUUUAUUUCAUUUGUUUUUGUACUGUUUUUGUUUCUUCUGUUUUGCAUUGAAAUACAAUUAAAUGCAUCUUUCCAGUUAACAGUAUUCACGUCUGUGUCUGUUUUUGGAUUCGGUCAUGGACUAAAAUCCAUUGAUAUAAAUUGUUUUAAUAAAUGCAUUUUGGGACAUAUUUUUAUAUGCGUAUGAUUAAAAUGCUGGAGUUUUCAUGUUCUCCACAUGUACUGGGAACUCAGGUUUCCUCCCACAUUCCAAAAACAUGUUUGUUUAUGUGUGCCCUGCAAUUGGCUGGCAACCAGUUCAGGGUGUAACCCGCCUCCUGCCCGAUGAUAGCUGGGAUAGGCUCCAGCACUCCUGCGACCCGCGUGAGAAUAAGCAGCUCAGAAAAUGGAUGGAUGGAUAUGUAAUAUAGUCAUUUAAAGAAGCUGUAAUAAAAUAUCGUCUUAGUCUUAGACUUUACACCGAUCUGAUCGGCUUGAUCGGUAUCGGCCGAUAAUUAGUAUUUUGUGCUGAUUGGCUUUAAUGUCACAAUUCGCCGAUCCGAUCAAUUACGUCAUUGAUCGGCUCCGCAAAAGAUAUUUACUCCACGUUGCCAUCGUGUACAGUAUAUUUGAAUCCAAAAGCUAGUUUAUUUUUAGCCUUGUCGCGUGUCUUUUGACGUAGUACUGUAAAUAUCUGACCGCCAAUAAAGUUUUGUUUUUUUAAAAAGCAGGCAACAAAACGUUCCGUAGCCUAGCAAGCUAGUGCUAGCACUAACGGUUGUACGUAAACGUGCCAGCGUUCUGUCGAAUCAUACUCUAAAGUUUCGGUCUGUGCGAAGUAAUUUAAUUACAAUAAAGUAAUUUAAUUAAACCAAGUUAGCACCCAUUAUUUCUGUCAUGUUGUAAUGUUGGUUUGACCUGACUGAAACUGUCAGUGGCCAAUCCUAGAGCUCAUUAAUGUUUUACCUUUUGUCUAAAAUGCUAGAGAAUACUUUUGAAGAUACUCCUUAUACAGUACACAAGUAUAUACAGUAAAUGAACACGUCAUUUAAAUAGACACAUAGCUCCAUCUUGUGAUCGGAUCGGUGAUCGGUUACCGUUUUUUAAACUCGCUGAUCGGCCCCAAAAAUCCUGAUCGUGUAAAGCCCAAUUUACUCCAGGUGUCUUAACCUUCAUUUUAUGCCAAGGACUUUCGAUACACCAUUUUGACAGAGUUGUGUUUUAAUUAAAGACAUUCAAAGGAGAUUUACAAAAUGUUAUAGAAGUGAGUCUUCCUGCCAUGGUCUUGUUUGCACGUUUUGACACCAUUUACAUUCACAUCGCAUUAUAAAUUGAAUUACUGUAUAUGGCAUUAAAGGAAGUUGUCAUUUUACUUGCAUUCAUCACAAACUGUCUGUUUGUAAAUGUGAGUAAUAAAAGCUUUAGUUUUGCAGAAACUGA